ensembl:lncRNA
GGGACUGCCUGAAGUGUCUAAGGCCUUUAAGGCUUGGCUUUGGUAAGUCCCUCAGUGCUGCCUUCUCCCAGGGGAAAGUGGACUUCUGGGGCCAAACCAAGACCAAACCCUUUCACACUUUAUUUCUGGCUUGGUGACUCUUGGCAGAGAAAACAGGGCUUUAGUUCACCUCACUGAAAAUUGUGGAGGGUGAGGAAUGAGGUUGGGUGCAGACCUGCCCUCUAGCCCCAAGAACAGCCUUGGGGAGAAGCCUGGGCUGGGGCCCUGCACUCAGGAGAGUGAAGGUGAGACUCUAGCUAGGCAUGCUGUUCCUGUGGGGCAGAGCUCUUUCCCAUAUCUGCUGGUGCUGCCCCAGAUUAUGCUGCAGUACCAUGUUCCCUUCUCCCCCUCCCCAUUCUUCCAUGCUGAAUAAAUCCCUCUUGAGGCAGGUGUGAAAUAUUCAUGACUGACAAAUGAAGAAUUAUGUCGGGCUGAGGAGGCCUCUGUGUGUUUGCAAUGCUAAUCAGCCUUCUUGGCUGGAGGAGGCUCCGCCUGGCAGGCUUGAAGGAAUGAGAGGAAGAUGCAGGAGGAAGGUGGAAAAGGAGCUGAGAAAGAGACGAGGGGCAGACACAGUAGGGGUGAAUUGGUAUGGUAGGACCAAGGAGUAGUGAGGCAAGGAGGUAGCAGGCUGGAAAGACCUGGGGAAGAGAUGGCUACAGUGGAAAGAAUAGGAUGAUAAAGGGACGAAGGGAAGAACAAGGAUUGAGUGCAGGGGUGAAGGUUCUCUGAGAGAAAGUAAGGGAAUAAGUCAGCAGUGCCUGGAGACAAAAAUCUGGGAAGACUUCAUGAUGAGCUGUGACCCCUCUCUGUAGGGCAGAGCUAAGUGCUACAGGGUGGGCACCUGCCAUCUGGGUAGGAGCUGGACCCAGGGCCCCAAAAGCACAUUUACCAUGCUUGUUGCUGACUGGAAAGCUCAGCUGCGUCAGGAAGGACACAGAGUCUCCUGGAGCCUGGAAAACAUCCCUUCCACCGUUAUCACCUCCUUCCACACAAGAUGCAGUCAAGAAGAGCCUCAUGGAGCCGUGUCCUCUUGUUGGAGUCAGCCUGCUGCUGUCCCAUUAUCUGAGCAGGAGGGAGCCUCCUCAGGAUGGCUUGGUGUGGGACAGACAUUUUGUGCCACCCCCCACCAGGCUAUGGGGUUUCCUGUAGGGCUGGUGGAUCCUGCCCCACCUCAGCCAUGCCCUGCCCAUCCUGUCUGAGCAGGUGUCUUUGGGUCCUUCCCUGGAGAAGGGCAGAGGGGAGCAUCUAUUGCGUCCCCCCUACACACGCACGCAUUCCCAACCCUGUCCCUCAGCCGCUUUGGCCUUGUACUGUGAGGGGCGUUCUCGGUCUGCCUCCCCUUGACUGUCCCCCCACGUGCCCUGGGGAGGUGUCUCCGUACCUGUCCCUGGCCAUCCUGCUAGGGCAGCUCUCUGCAGGGCUGCCCCAACCCACCCUGUCCCUGGAGAGAGGGCAUCUUCUGCCUGGCUUCUCCUUCUCCCCCUUCUCCCGCUCCUUAUCCUCCCUGCCCCUCCAGGGGUCAAAUUCCCUCCUCCCCCCUUUACAGCCCCCCUCCGUAUGCCCCAUCCUCGUGCAUUUGGCUUGGCCUUUGCCUCCCCCAUAGCUACCACCACCACUGUGAGGCCUUGCUCUUGGGCGGCCUGUCCCCACCGCCUGCUCUCCACCUUCCCUGGGGGGAAGAGGAAGAGUCUGUCCGGGUCAGGCCAGACCCUCCAGGGCUGGUACGGCUGGUCCAUCCACAAGCACAGCGUCUGGGGUGAGGGGGUGGGAAGGGGCGGGCAGCUGCCAGGCACAGAGAAGGGGGUGUCAGCCCUUGAAUGUAAGGAAGGGCCUGGGAGGCAGCUGCUGGGACUGGCUCCUUGUGGCCUCUUUGGUGUUCCUCCUUCCGUAACAACCCUGUGACCCCCCCGGUUGUGUAUGGACAAAUUUAUGUUGGAGUUACGUUCUUUACUUUCUUCUUCUUUUUUUGAAUUUAUUUUCUUUUCUUCUUUUAGAAUUGUAUUUCUUUCUUGUUCUUUUCUUUCUUUCUUUUUUUUUUCUCUCUUUCCUUCUUUUCCUGUUUUAAAACUGAAUGGCACGAAAUCGUUUUUCCUCAACUCGGAGAUUCCUGUAUGGAGAAAAUCAAUUUCUAUAUUUGCAAUAAAUUUCUUAUUUAAAAAAAAACAAAACCAACAAAAAACCUAAAAAAAAAA